rnacentral:misc_RNA from 1 species
CAGAUUCAAACUCCCAUUUUUCUCCUUCUCUCUCUACAAUGGAUCCAAAAUCUUCUUACAAAUUCACUUUUCUAUUACUUCUGUCACUCUUUCUUCAUUCUAAGGUUGCUGAUGGAACAUCUUCAGUGUAUUUCAUCGAUAACCCAUCUCACCGUUACUUCCGUUCUCCAUCUUCCGAUGCUUCUUCUAAGAUAAGUUCCUUGUCUCUUUCCGAUGUUGGUGCUACUGUAUCAAUCUUGCUUGGUUUUGCACCUCCUGCUACUCUUUCCUCUGCUAGUUCAUCAAAGUUGAAUGAGGUACUUGUACCAAAUCCAUUUGAUAGGCCGGGUUCUGUCCUCAUCCUAGAAGUUACAGGAGCUGAAGGUGUUGCUUUUGAGGCCCUUAGGAGCAAUGUAGUAAACGAAAAUAGAGCUGACAUUCAACUUCCAGAUGCAGAUAAAGUUUCUCUUUUUUCAUUGGAUGAACCAAAAACAGAUGCUGAACAUUCAGAGAAAGAAUUAAGUGAAUUUGCAUCAUGGUUGAGUGGUUCAUAUGUGAAUGGAGAGCUGACAAUCCCCUUGGAGGAUGACGCUAAUUUGAAAUUUCAAUUGUCAAAGGAAGCAGAUAGGGACUUUGUAACAAGUCUUGUUUCACUCACCCAUAAGAUUCAAAGAGCAAUGGAGAAGCACCAAGAUUUGUCUGGAGCUGUGCACCAUCCAUCUGAGCUAAUUUCUGGAAAAUUUGAUGGCCUUAAGGCUCUCAAAGAGCAAUAUGGAGCAGAAGGUGUUGUGGAAGGAGCUAAAUUGUUUAGUAUUGUGAUGUCCAAGAUGUUUGAUUCCUUAACUGAAGCCUAUAAAGGUCAAAUUGUUGGAGUCAUUGUCUGCAAUGAAACACCUUCAGUAGCUGAGCCAUUAUUCGACGUUGUUUUCACUUCUCAACCAUCUGCCCGCUGGCUGGAGGAAACACAAACUUCACCCAAUUCAACUGCUGUUGAAGAAGUUAUAUUGGUUAGACGAACUGUUGCAUGGAUUACAGGACUCUUGCUUAUAAUUGCCACUCUAUUAGGAAUCUACUUUCUCCUCAACAUGCCACUCACAAGGGACACCCUUCUCUAUUCUAACGUGAAGCUCGACUAGAAUUCUACAGCUGCAUUAAACGUCGUGACAUCAAUGGUGCAAUCUGCCCCGUGAUAUUGUACAAUUGUGAUGCUCAUUUCCUGUUUAAAUUAUAUUGCCAUUGUCAUCAACUUAUAGCUGUUAAUAAAGCUGGUUUUGCCUCCGGAGGUUUUCACGACAUGUUUGUAGCUUUAUAUAUGGUGAAUUAUUCAUGGAAGCAAAUGAGUAGGAGCUGUUGUAGCGAAAACGAGUUGAGAACACAGAUUAUGUUUUUGCUAUUUGUGUAUUCAUUUAGGUUUUGGUAUGAUGUUUUGAUUUGUUGUAUUCAAAACCAAAAUAUUGGAAAGUAUUGGCUACUAUGAUAUAUUUUUGUCAUGAAUAAAAUUUCGAAUUUG